rnacentral:rRNA from 1 species
GGAAUAUUGGACAAUGGGCGAAAGCCUGAUCCAGCCAUGCCGCGUGAGUGAUGAAGGCCUUAGGGUUGUAAUGCUCUUUUAGCGGGGAAGAUAAUGACGGUACCCGCAGAAUAAGCCCCGGCUAACUUCGUGCCAGCAGCCGCGGUAAUACGAAGGGGGCUAGCGUUGUUCGGAAUUACUGGGCGUAAAGCGCACGUAGGCGGAUUGGCAAGUCAGAGGUGAAAUCCCGGGGCUCAACCUCGGAACUGCCUUUGAUACUGCCAGUCUAGAGUCCGGAAGAGGUGGGUGGAAUUCCUAGUGUAGAGGUGAAAUUCGCAGAUAUUAGGAAGAACACCGGUGGCGAAGGCGGCCCACUGGUCCGGAACUGACGCUGAGGUGCGAAAGCGUGGGGAGCAAAC